ACUUGGCAGCACAUGAAGGCGCGUCCGGCCUCCGAACGACACGUGCUUGACAUGCACGGGUCCGUGACGUCGAGUAGAAUGUUUUCGUGUACUUAAACCCUCCGUUUGAGCAAACUAUGGGGGAUUUUCCUAGCCUUUUAGUGUAUGUCCUAAUUAAUUAAUUAGAAAAUUUAUUUCACAUAUAGGUGAGACUUACCCCGAUGAGGUACGAGGACAAACAAGGCUAGGAGGCUACGAUCCAUCGACAUAUCAGUGAGUGGGCAUUUGUUUUUAUAUAUAGAAAACUGCCUUGUACCUGAAGACGGAAUUCGAGAUGAAGGAUCUUAGGAAAACUCAUUUUUACCUUGGCCUGAAGUUCAAGUGUUAUUCUGACGGUACUUUAGUCUACCAGUCGAACUACACCCUGAAGGUGUUACCUUUGAGUAUACAUGUGAUCAUCCAUACGUUAUAUGCAAAUGAGACCCUUGAAGAGUUUAUGGAAUCCGAAGUUCCAUAUCUAAGUUCAACUUUGCGCUUCAACAAAAUUUAGUUUUUCAUCGCAUAAAGCCACCUUACGCGACAAAUAUUCAGUGUUCUAAAAAAAUCGGUCUAGUUUUUAUGUAUGCUUAUUGUGUAUAAAAUGACCAUGUCUGUAAAAAUUGAACCUUUGGCUUAUUUCUAUACAAAAAUUAAAAUUUUCAAUCUGCUUUUUCAUAUUGUGGGAUGAGUGUUUUGUAAAAACUUGACCUUUGGCUCAUAUGUGUAAACCUGAAGAUUUGGAGUUGUUUUAUGUGUUGGUUAUGAAUUUUAGGUGACUAAAUUGGUGGUUUCGUAUAUUAAGUUAAGUUACAAAGUAGAUUUUUCCUUCGUUUUGGAAAAGUGCGUAGCUGAGAUUAUUUUGAAUUUCCCGUUCAUUACAAUAUUGUGAUUUUGAUAAGAGCUUUGUCUGCAUGUUUUUUGUUGAGUAAUGGUUUACUUGGUUAGAAGAAACUCUUUGAGGUUAUGUUAAAAUCUAUUUUGUGGAUGAAUCUAAUUAGUUAAAUUUGUCAAGUUUAUGUUAUGUAAGAAAUUUAAUUGCAAAGUUGAGUCUUUUUUUCUGAGUUAUGUUAAUAAUUCUACCUAAAAUUUUUGUAAAAUCAUGGUUGGGUUUAAGUUAUAUUAUAAAACAUGGAUCAUUCAAGUCUCAGUACAACUGGAUGUUUGUUUACUUGCACAAUUUUUGUGUGCAUAGAAGUUUGUUUCUGCUUCUCAGGUUCUUUGUCCCCGUGUUUAUUAAUUGUGUUUUUCUCUAUUCAUUUGGGUUGUCGCAGUGAUUGAAGAUCUCAGUCAAGGUUCUUUCCCUAUCUUUUCAAGCUAGAUUAGCUAGUGAGUGAUAUGCUCCUUGUACUGGUGCGGUAUCAUUGGUGCUCACUUUGUAUUUUUCCAAUCCCUAUAUAUCUGCUCAACUCUUGGGUCAAUUAUUUGCUAGUAGGAAUGUUUAAUUGCUUGAUCAAUGAUGUCGAUUCAAUUUGAAGAAGAAAUAGGACUUUUGUUC
rnacentral:lncRNA from 1 species